ensembl:snRNA U6 U6 spliceosomal RNA
UGAAUUGUGCAUCCCAAAGACUAAAAUUGGAAUGAUACAAAGAAGAUUAGCAUGGCCCCUGCACAAGGAUGACACGAAAAUUCACGAAGUGUUCCGUAUUUUU